ensembl:lncRNA
GUGACCCCAUUCUGUGACCCCACAACAGUCACCCCAUUCUGUGACCCCACAAUGACCCCACAACAGUCACCCCACAACAAUGACCCCACAACAAUGACCCCACAACAGUCACCCCACAACAGUCACCCCAUUCUGUGACCCCACAAUGACCCCACAACAGUCACCCCACAACAGUCACCCCACAACAAUGACCCCAUUCUGUGACCCCACAACAGUCCCCCCACAACAAUGACCCCACAACAAUGACCCCACAACAGUCAUCCCACAACAUCACCCCACAACAAUGACCCCACAACAAUGACCCCAUUCUGUGACCCCACAACAGUCACCCCACAACAGUGACCCCACAACAAUGACCCCACAACAGUCACCCCACAACAGUCACCCCACAACAAUGACCCCAUUCUGUGACCCCAUUCAGUGACCCCACAACAAUGACCCCACAACAGUCACCCCACAACAGUCACCCCACAACAAUGACCCCAUUCUGUGACCCCAUUCUGUGACCCCACAACAGUCACCCCACAACAAUGACCCCACAACAGUCACCCCACAACAUGACCCCACACCAAUGACCCCACACCAAUGACCCCACAACACUGACCCCACAACAGUGACCCCACAACAGUGACCCCAUUCAGUGACCCCACACCGAUGACCCACAUCAAUAAUCCAACACAAUGACCCCACACCAGUGACCCCACAUCAGUGACCCCAAUUAAUGACCCCACAACACUGACCCCACACCAAUGACCCCACACCAAAGACCCCACUCCAAUGACCCCAUACCCAAUGUUCCCACUCAGUGACCCCACACCACUGUCCCCACUCCUUGACCCCACUCAUUGACCCCACAUCAAUCACUCCACUCAACGGCCCCAAUUAAUGACCCCACACCCUACGACCCCACAUCAAUGACCCCAUUCAGUGACCCCACACCAAUGGCCCCACACCAAUGACCCCACAUUAAUGACACACCACAAUGACCCCACAUCAGUGACCCCAAACCAAUAACCCAACACAAUGACCCCACAUCAAUCACCCCACUCAACGGCCCCAAUUAAUGACCCCACACCCAACGACCCCACACCAAUGACCCCAUUCAGUGACCCCACACCAAUGACCCCACACCAAUGACCCCACACCAAUGACCCCAUACCCAAUGUUCCCACUCAAUGACCCCACACCAAUGACCCCAUGCCCAAUGUUCCCACUCAUUAACCCCACUCAGUGACCCCACUCAACGACCCCACACCAUGGCCCCAAUUAAUGACCCCACACCCAACGACCCCACACCACUGCCCCCGCUCAUUGACCCCACACCAAUGACCCCACAUCAAUCACCCCACUCAACGGCCCCAAUUAAUGACCCCACACCCUACGACCCCACAUCAAUGACCCCAUUCUGUGACCCCACACCAAUGACCCACACCAAUGACCCCAUUACCCAAUGUUCCCACUCAAUGACCCCACACCAAUGACCCCAUACCCAAUGUUCCCACUCAUUAACCCCACUCAGUGACCCCACUCA